rnacentral:tRNA from 1 species
AUAGGCGUGGCAGAAACUGCAUUGGACUUAAGACCCAAAGACGAAUUAUAUUUCCACCUAUA